CAUGCCCCUUGAGGCGUUGCAGUCCGACGUUGUGUCGAGCCUGUGUCAUAAGGCGGCAGAGAAUAAAAAGGUCUACGAAAGAUCAUCUGCA
ensembl:snoRNA